rnacentral:precursor_RNA from 2 species
GCUACCAUGUAAACAUGGAAAUCAUGCAACCAUCAGAAUAAAAGAACCUAUCAGAAGCACAUAUCAAAUCAUGCAACCAUCAGAAUAAAAGAUUUUUACAGUUCUAUCACCAUAGUCAUGUCAUUAAAAAGAGACAUAUCCUACAUAAACAUAUAUAUCAAGCCUAAACAAGUAGUAAACAUGUUUACACCCCAUGAGCAGCCAAGAAGCAAGAAGCAAUAGCCAGUACUACUGCCUCAAGCCCUUGAACACAAAAAGGCGAGAACUGGAUGCAGAGGUUUAUCGAUCGAUUCCCGCGUUGUCGUUGGCUGCAACAAGGACCAAAAAGAAGAAAAAAAAAGAACACCCUCUCAAAGAAAUUCGCCGCUCCUGGAUCAGCGCCACAAGGCAGGGAAGGGAUCGAUAAACCACUGCGCCCAGGCAUCACCACCAACCCCCCACCCCCACCUGCGAACAUGAUGGAUUAGCGCAAGAAACCGGAACAAAACAAGAACGGAACACAGAGCCACCUGCAAGAUCGGGCACGAACGAACACUCGUGGGUGUGAAUCUGUGUUUCUCGUGUGUGCAAUGAGGAAGG